ensembl:rRNA 5S_rRNA 5S ribosomal RNA
AUCUACGGCCAUACCACCCUGAACGCGCCCGAUCUCGUCUGAUCUCGGAAGCUAAGCAGGGUUGGGCCUGGUUAGUACUUGGAUGGGAAAGUAUCUGCUUUCUCAUACUAAAACCAAUACUUGAUAUCAUCGAAC